CUUGACCAACCUGAUCUCCUUCUAUGAUCCAGUGACCCGUCUGGUGGAUGAGGGAAAGGCUGUUGAUGUGGUCUACCUAGACUUCAGCAAAGCCUUUGACACUGUCUCCCACAGUAUUCUCCUCCAGAAGCUGGCAGAUCGUGGCUUGGACAGAUACAUUCUUCACUGGUUUGAAUGCACCGCAAGAAGGUCAGACCGAGGAAGACGUUGAGCCUUCGCGAGGAAUCCUUCUGACUUCAUCCCCACGACCACCAGAGGGAGACUCCUACUAUGGAUAACGCAUGUGCCAGGGGAGGGGCAGUAUGUAAAUGAAUUUCCGGAAGAUUAAUGAGUAAGUAGAUGGGUUCCAAAAAUUCUGCUGAAUAUGUAUGGAC
ensembl:lncRNA